ensembl:lncRNA
GUGUGUGACGUCAGUGUCAGCUGGUCAAUGUUUACAUCCAAAAUUUGGUGACAUAUUGAAUGUUUAUGGGAGGACCGAGAGAGUAACAACUCCCGAUUUUAACAUCAUUUUGCUAAAUACAGUUGACACUAUAAAGCAGCGUCGAAUAAACGUCACUUCCAUAAGUGCGCUUCAUAGACGACAUCAACAAAGACAAAGUUCCGAAGAGACGUCAUCAGUCCCUAUGAUUCUCUUGUAGUGUGGCAGUGCCAUCCCCCGGCAACUCAAGAAAACACGAAAACUAGGCUAGUUGAUUAUAUACCUCUACAUUGACCUGUAUUACACAUGCCCAUCGUUUACACACACC